rnacentral:rRNA from 1 species
UACGUAGGGUGUAAGCGUUGUCCGGAAUUAUUGGGCGUAAAGAGCUCGUAGGCGGUUUGUCGCGUCUGCUGUGAAAACUCAGGGCUUAACCCUGAGCUUGCAGUGGGUACGGGCAGACUAGAGUGCGGUAGGGGAGACUGGAAUUCCUGGUGUAGCGGUGAAAUGCGCAGAUAUCAGGAGGAACACCGGUGGCGAAGGCGGGUCUCUGGGCCGUAACUGACGCUGAGGAGCGAAAGCAUGGGGAGCGAACAGG